UGUGUUAUAUACAAUGGAUGGUUUCUAUUUCUGAUUACUUGCUGUAAUGGAAUAAAUAAUAAAGUUAAUUCUGAAUCAUCUGGAAUAAGUUCAGUAGUUUCAAUAUGUAAAACAAUUCUUUCUGCAUGUUGAGAGUCAGUAACUUAAGAGCUAUUAUUGAUUGUGA